UUGGAGGGCAAGUCUGGUGCCAGCAGCCGCGGUAAUUCCAGCUCCAAUAGCGUAUAUUAAAGUUGUUGCAGUUAAAAAGCUCGUAGUUGAAUUUCGGGGUUAGUAGGUUGGUCAUGCCUCUGGUAUGUACUGGUCUCACUGAUUCCUCCUUCCUGAUGAGCCGUAAUGCCAUUAAUUUGGUGUUGCGGGGAAUUUGGACUGUUACUUUGAAAAAAUUAGAGUGUUUAAAGCAAGCUAACGCUUGGAUACAUUAGCAUGGAAUAAUGAAAUAGGACGUUCGAUCCUAUUUUGUUGGUUUCUAGGAUUGACGUAAUGAUUAAUAGGGAUAGUUGGGGGCAUUAGUAUUCAAUUGUCAGAGGUGAAAUUCUUGGAUUUAUUGAAGACUAACUACUGCGAAAGCAUUUGCCAAGGAUGUUUUCAUUAAUCAAGAACGAAAGUUAGGGGAUCGAAGACGAUCAGAUACCGUCGUAGUCUUAACCAUAAACUAUGCCGACUAGGGAUCGGAUGAUGUUAAUUUUUUAAUGACUCAUUCGGCGCCUUACGGGAAAC
rnacentral:rRNA from 1 species